rnacentral:lncRNA from 1 species
GAAGAUCAGCAUUCUUCAGUACUGCAGGAAAACAAAACCCACACUGAAGAUCAGAAGAUGCUUCAGAAAUUUAUCCAUGGAACACCACUGAAACUAAAUUUCCAUGCAUAAUGUUGCAUGUUAGACCUACUCAUUGUGCACUUUUACACACAGAUUUUCUUCAGGAUCUCCUUGUUUUCUGCAAAACAUGACCUGCUGCCAGUGUCUCACACCUGUAUCUCAGCCACAUGCAGAAUCCUCUCUCACUCUCAAAACAGAGGAUCCAGAAUAUUGAUGUUUUGGCUUCAGCUUUGCAUUGGACAACAGAAGAUUUAUACCACUACUUCCACAUCCAUGAAGAGAGGACGCAACGGCCAACAAAGUCCCCAGAAGUCCCUAGUGCUGGAAGAUGUUGUGUACUGACCUGCUAAUUAAAAUGAUCAGAGACUCAUGGCUUUACCCAGCCUCCAAUAGAAGGAUGAGCACCAGAAUUUUGCACGUGAAUCUGAAAGAGAAGAGCAAGGAGAGGGCAGGAGAUGGGCACCAGGAAAUGACACGGAG